UACGUAGGCAGCGAGCGUUGUUCGGAGUUACUGGGCGUAAAGGGUGUGUAGGCGGUUCUCUAAGUUUGGUGUGAAAUCUCCCGGCUCAACCGGGAGGGUGCGCCGAAAACUGGAGGGCUAGAGUGCGGGAAGGGAGAGUGGAAUUCCUGGUGUAGCGGUGAAAUGCGUAGAUAUCAGGAGGAACACCGGUGGUGCAGACGGCCCUCUGGACCGCGACUGACGCUGAGACACGAAAGCGUGGGUAGCAAACAGG
rnacentral:rRNA from 1 species